rnacentral:rRNA from 1 species
UACGGAGGGGGCGAGUGUUGUUCGGAAUUACUGGGCGUAAAGGGCGCGCAGGCGGCCUGGCAAGUCGAGUGUGAAAUCCCUUGGCUUAACUAAGGAAUGGCGCUCGAAACUACCGCGCUGGAGGGCGGGAGAGGGAAGUGGAACUCUCGGUGUAGGGGUGAAAUCUGUAGAUAUCGAGAGGAACACCGGUGGCGAAGGCGGCUUCCUGGCCCGUACCUGACGCUGAGGCGCGAAAGCGUGGGGAGCAAACAGG